GAUGAACGCUGGCGGCGUGCCUAAUACAUGCAAGUCGAGCGAACAGAUAAGGAGCUUGCUCCUUUGACGUUAGCGGCGGACGGGUGAGUAACACGUGGGUAACCUACCUAUAAGACUGGAAUAACUCCGGGAAACCGGGGCUAAUGCCGGAUAACAUUUAGAACCGCAUGGUUCUAAAGUGAAAGAUGGUUUUGCUAUCACUUAUAGAUGGACCCGCGCCGUAUUAGCUAGUUGGUAAGGUAACGGCUUACCAAGGCAACGAUACGUAGCCGACCUGAGAGGGUGAUCGGCCACACUGGAACUGAGACACGGUCCAGACUCCUACGGGAGGCAGCAGUAGGGAAUCUUCCGCAAUGGGCGAAAGCCUGACGGAGCAACGCCGCGUGAGUGAUGAAGGUCUUCGGAUCGUAAAACUCUGUUAUUAGGGAAGAACAAAUGUGUAAGUAACUGUGCACGUCUUGACGGUACCUAAUCAGAAAGCCGCGGCUAACUACGUG
rnacentral:rRNA from 1 species